rnacentral:rRNA from 1 species
ACGUACACUCCUGCGGGAGGCAGCAGUGGGGAAUAUUGGACAAUGGGCGCAAGCCUGAUCCAGCCAUGCCGCGUGAGUGAUGAAGGCCCUAGGGUUGUAAAGCUCUUUCACCGGAGAAGAUAAUGACGGUAUCCGGAGAAGAAGCCCCGGCUAACUUCGUGCCAGCAGCCGCGGUAAUACGAAGGGGGCUAGCGUUGUUCGGAAUUACUGGGCGUAAAGCGCACGUAGGCGGAUCGAUCAGUCAGGGGUGAAAUCCCAGGGCUCAACCCUGGAACUGCCUUUGAUACUGUCGAUCUGGAGUAUGGAAGAGGUGAGUGGAAUUCCGAGUGUAGAGGUGAAAUUCGUAGAUAUUCGGAGGAACACCAGUGGCGAAGGCGGCUCACUGGUCCAUUACUGACGCUGAGGUGCGAAAGCGUGGGGAGCAAACAGGAUUAGAAACCCGAGUAGUCCCAU